UACGGGGGGGGCAAGCGUUGUUCGGAAUUACUGGGCGUAAAGGGCGCGUAGGCGGCUUUUCAAGUCGGGCGUGAAAUCUCCAGGCUUAACCUGGAAGGGUCGUUCGAUACUGUUAAGCUAGAGUGUGGAAGAGGCUACUGGAAUUCCGUGUGUAGCGGUGAAAUGCGCAGAUAUCGGGAGGAACACCAAUGGCGAAGGCAGCUUGCUGGGACGGUACUGACGCUGAGGCGCGAAAGCGUGGGGAGCAAACAGG
rnacentral:rRNA from 1 species